rnacentral:rRNA from 1 species
AUUGAACGCUGGCGGCAGGCUUAACACAUGCAAGUCGAGCGAGCGGCGGACGGGUGAGUAAUGUCUGGGAAACUGCCUGAUGGAGGGGGAUAACUACUGGAAACGGUAGCUAAUACCGCAUACCAUCAGAUGUGCCCAGAUGGGAUUAGCUAGUAGGUGGGGUAAUGGCUCACCUAGGCGACGAUCCCUAGCUGGUCUGAGAGGAUGACCAGCCACACUGGACUUGAAAGACGGUGUAGACUCUUACGGUGGGCGGCAUGGGGGAAUAUUGCACAAUGUGCUAAAGCCUGAUGCAUCCAUGCGGCGGUGGGGAAGAGGGCCUUCGGGUUUUAAAGCAAUUUCAGCGAGGAGGCGGUACUCGAAGAAGAAGCACCGGCUAACUCCGUGCCAGCAGCCGCGGUAAUAC